rnacentral:rRNA from 1 species
AUUGAACGCUGGCGGCAUGCCUUACACAUGCAAGUCGAACGGUAACAGGUCUUCGGAUGCUGACGAGUGGCGAACGGGUGAGUAAUACAUCGGAACGUGCCUAGUAGUGGGGGAUAACUACUCGAAAGAGUGGCUAAUACCGCAUGAGAUCUAGGGAUGAAAGCAGGGGAUCGCAAGACCUUGUGCUACUAGAGCGGCCGAUGGCAGAUUAGGGAGUUGGUGGGAUAAAAGCUUACCAAGCCGACGAUCUGUAGCUGGUCUGAGAGGACGAUCAGCCACACUGGGACUGAGACACGGCCCAGACUCCUACGGAAGGCAGCAGUGGGGAAUUUUGGACAAUGGGCGCAAGCCUGAUCCAGCAAUGCCGCGUGCAGGAUGAAGGCCUUCGGGUUGUAAACUGCUUUUGUACGGAACGAAAAGCCCCGGGUUAAUACCCUGGGGUCAUGACGGUACCGUAAGAAUAAGCACCGGCUAACUACGUGCCAGCCGCCGCCGUAA